UCUGCCAGAAGACUGGGAAGGGGGAAGAAGAAGCCUCAUAACCUCAGGACUCUGGAGUGUGGGUCUCUAUCACCUCCAAUGGCCUCUUCUUUGGAGGUGAAAUUUCAUUUUCCACCUGAACGGUUCUGGAGAUCUGAGAGUAGUCUGGAGGGACCCUGUGGGACCACAGCCUGGCGCUGAUGAUGCACACACUCACUCUGGCUGUUUUGCUUGGCGCCCAGCACGUGGCUGGCACUCCACACCUGUGACAUCACCAUCACCCCGCCGAACACCAGGCAAAAGGGAGAGGCAGUACCAAGGCAGUACCUAGGCUCACCCACUGUCCCUGAUGGACACUUGGCCCAGUGCUCUCCACUACCUGAGGCACCUCACAGAAACCAAAGAGACUCCUGGGACUCUUCCUGACAAUGCCACUGGAGCUGGAUUCCAGGGACUCAAAGGCAGAAAUUUAGUGCCCAUGUGCUGAACAUGUCAUCUGGGUGCUGUCAUCUGGGUGCUGCUGUCUUCAUCUGCCACGUUCUUGGAGUUGAAAGCACAGCAACAAACCACUCUCUGGGAGUUAGAGAAGGGGAGGCAAAUAGUGAAACCCACACCUAGAACUCCAGGUAUGUGGGCUGAGCAGAGACACAGAUACUUGGGAAACCGGUCACUUUUUAGCAGAGAGGAUGAUGAAGUCCAAGCCACCAAGGGCAGAGGGAUGGCUCACAGGAAGCCUGACAAGGAGGCUGGAGCUGGGGUUGGGGGUGAGGGUGGCAGUGGGUGUCCUGGGCACAAAUGACAGUGCUUAAGUAAGGCCUGGUGGCCCAGAAGCAUUUGGUGCUAUUGUGUCCCUCACUCCAUCCCGGGCUCCCCAACCCAGAUCCUUCCAUGUCUCCCCUCCACCCCCAUGCCCAGCUCCACCUCCCUCUGCCUGCCUGCUGCUUCCCUACUGUAACUGGAGAAGAGGCGGCAGGUGAGGUGCGGGCACAGCCUCAGAACAUCCCGGCACCGACUCUGUCCCCAGCCUGGGGAACCUUUGUCCUUCUGGCCUGUAAUGGGUUUCAGGAGAGAGCUUCAAUAUUUGCUGCAAACAGAGGCAUAAAGGCCUUGGAGGGCUAUUGUGGGCUCUCCAAAGAGGAGCUAAUCCCUGGGCAAGCUAUGAGCCAGGAGGGGUUCAAGUGCUGGGUGGUGCUGUCAUUUAUGAGCAAUUGUGGCAAAUAAUAGCACCCAGGGGGUCAAUCUGUACAGGUGGGGGUGGUUAGGGGACAGCACCUGUCCUGAAAACUCCCCACUCUGGCACUCAGAGCUGUGUGAGUCUGAGGUCAGACUCAGGGGUCACUUGUGUCUAGGAGGUAUGGGCAGGCAGUUGGUGGUGGUGGGCACUUUCAUUUUCUUUUCUCUUUUUACAGGAGCUGGGGUCUCACAUGCAUGAAUGUGUGAUUUAACUGAUCCUGGGCCACUUUUUCACUCAGAUAGAGAGACAGAGAGAAAGGGAGAGACACCAUAGCUCCAGAGGUACUGUGGUGCUUAAUCCUAGGGUCAUGUACAUGGCCUACACAGUGAGCUACUCUCUGACUUCUCUCUCUCUUUCUCUGCCUCUUUGCAGUGUGCUGUGCAGAAACAAGUCAAGGAACAGGAAUCAGCUGCAUUUACAUAUCAUUAGCAUGAAUAUUGCAGCUCCUCUGUCUUCCAGACCUGUCCCAAUAUCUCUAAACAUACAAAUCUAUCCAGUUCUGGAAGUCUCUGGGGAAUGUCUCAGGGUGGGUGUGGCUAAAGGGACUUUCCUUAGGGACUUUAAAAAAAUUGUUUAUUUAUCUUUUGCCACUAAUGUUAUUGUUGAGGCUCAGUGCCUAUAUUAUGACUCCACUACUCCCAGGGACUAUUUAUUUAUUUUUCAUUUUUAUUUUUGAUAGAGGGAGAUAGAGAGUAUGAUAAUGAGCAGCCUGGUGGUGGUAUACUUUGUUAAGUGCCCGUGUUAUCAUGUGUAAGGCCUAGGGUUUGAACCCCUAGUCCCCACCUUCAGGGGUGAUGCUUUAUAAAUGGCGAAAGAGGUCUGCAGGUGUCUAUCUUUCUAUCUCUAUAUAUCUAUAUCAGCCCUGCUCUAUCUCCUACUCUCUUAAUAUUUCUCUGCCCUAUAAAAUAAAAAGUAGGAAAAAAGGGGGGGGGGAAGAGAGAAGAAAAAGACACAGAGACACCUGCAGCACUGCUCCACUGUUCAUGAAGAUAGGGAUAGGGGACUUGAACAUGGGUCCUUGAGCAUGGUGAUGUAUGCACUCUAUUGCUCCUCCAGCUACUCAGGAACACAGCUGCAGGUGUCCUUCUCUCUAUAGCAGUGGGCCACUUCUCUCCCUGGACUGGGAAGAGAAGUGGGAGAAAUCCGACCCCUAGCUCAGUGGAGCCUGGAGAUCUGUAUAGCUAUUUUCAUUUGCAGCCUGUUACCAUUGUCUCUGUGAUAAGAGGUGCUAACUGCUGAAGCCAGGCCAAAAGGAAGCACCUGAAAAAGUCAUUUGCCUGCUGAAUAACUUUCUCUACUUCCAGUCUACCUGUCCCUUCCCUGUCCUUUUCUUUUGCAUUCUCUUCUAAAGGAGGAAAAACAAAGAAAAAACCAACACUAUUGUAUUUGUUAGCAAACUCCACUGCUGUUUUAAAAGGCAAAGCAGUGAUACUACUUCUUCUAAAACUAAAUCAGACUACAUCAUCCUGCAGCCUGGGAGCUGUGGGCCAUCCCCAGUGUCCUUCCCACAGUCCUGUAGGUCAUGCAUAGUGGGGACCUGGCCUUCUGUCUCCUUUCUUCAUAGCUCUUCAGCAAGGAGAGGCAUUUCUAGCUCAUUCACAGUCCAGGGUCUCAUGAAAUUCUUGCUGACAGAGUAAAUGUGGGUAAUACUAUUCAGAGAUAUCCAGGUGAGAGAUGGUGGCUUUGGGAGCCAUAAGGAGAAAGAAAAUAUAAACUCCUUUCUGGUUCUUUCACUCACUGGAGAGUAGUUAUGGGCAAGGUUCUUCCUCUCAGAGGCUGUGCUCCUUUUCUGUGGAUGGGAUCCCACUAACUUAUACACAGAAGCAUGAAUUCAGCACCAUGCAGACAUGCCCAUUAAGUCAUGAUGACUGCCAGGGAUGAUUAGCCCUUUGUUACCUUCCUCCUCUGAGCUGAGAUCUCUUCCUGUCCUCAAAACCCACAGUGUGUUGAUAGAUGCCUGCAGGACCAUGCAGCAAUGGUGCACACAGGGGAGGAUGAACCAAUACCACAAGAAUACUCCUACAGAUACCAGGGAAUAGCAUUGUGUGUGUGUGUGUGUGUGUGUGUGUGUGUGUGUGUGUGUGUGUGUGUAACAAGAUCUUAACAGACACUCAGCCACCUCCUUUAGAUCAGGCCAGGCAGUCCCCAGGGUGUCCAUUUCAUGGUCAGAGAGCAGAGGCUCAAUGAUCACACAACUGAUCACAAAUCAUACACUCCCCCCAACCUAAUUUAGAUAUUGAGUCCUAACUCCCAAGGAGCUGAGGUUAGGAUGUGGGGCCUUUGGGAAGACAUAAACUAUAGGGGUGAAGCCCUCCUGGAUGUGAUCAGUGUCCUUCUGCUGGGAACCUCAGGGAGCUAACUGGUUCUCUUUCUGCCCUGUGAGCAUUUCUCAUUUCAACAGUGGGAAACUGGCAGCCUACGUUCUGCCAGGGGUCCACACUACAAUCCCCAACCAUGCUGACACCCUUAUCUUGCAUUUCCAGCCUUGAGAACUGUGAGCUAUAACUGCCUGUGGUGUUUUGUUAUGGGUGUCUGGAGGGACUAAAACACCUGCUUUCUUCUGUCAUAGCACCGGCCCUUGUGGACACCCCCUUGAGAACUUGUCAUGGCCCAUCUCUCUGAUCAAAAUGCAUCUCUGUGAUGGUAUCUUCUAUGUCCUACAACAAAGAACUCAGUAAAUGCAUGUGGAAUGAAUGAAUGAAUGAGGGACAGAGGAGUAAAUGGCAGAAGUUGGCUUUCAGCUUCUCAAGCAGAAGGCAGAAGAGCAUGUCUAGAUUCUGGACUUUGCUUGUUUGGGUUUGAUGUCAGCUUUGUCACGUACUCACAUCGCCUGCAACUUGGACACAUAGUUAACCUCCCUUAACUUGUCUCCCCACCUGUGUAAGGGAGGCUGUUAUAGAACACCUAGUUCACAAGGCUAAAUGAGUCAACACUUAUAAAGUGGUCAGAACAGUACUGGAAAAUUCAAUAAACCAGCCAAUAUUCAACCAGCCAGUCAAGCAAGGUAUCUUGACUCCAAACUUAGUGCUUUUUCUACUGUUAUGUCAGGUCUUCCAAAUGAUUAACAUAUUUGUGAUUUCAUGAGGCCUUUUCCUCAACCUUGAGAGGGGAGUUGGAGACAGUUCUUGCCCCGGUUGCUCAGGAGAAGAAAUUCAGGUGAGAAUAGAUACUGACUCCAGAGCACACCUGCGCUUGAAUAGAUCCCCUGACUUUGCUUGUACUAUUCUGUGAUUCACAGAUUAUCAGGUAAUUCUCUCCCCAGAUCAAGUCUGAAAAUGAGAAAGAGAGAGAGAGAGAGAGAGAGAGAGAAUAUCAGGGACUCAAAAAGCUUCUCAAAAGGUCUAAAGGUAACACUCUCUCCUUUUAGAAUUUGCAGAUGCAUUUAUUUUCCUCUAAUCAUGGGAAAUGGCUACAUAGAUGACAAGUGUUGUUGGGACUUUAAGGUUAAGAAAAAAUUCUUGAGAUUCAUGAGGAAGGAAUCCAAGACUUCAGAUGUUGGUGAAGCUUCCCAUCUUCCCCAACCUCUGAUCCCAGCCAGCCGCUGUCUUCAGAGCAGCUGUAGUGGGCUUAGACUGAACUAGGGGCCACAGGGCUACCUUCCACAGAGAUUUCCUACCUGCUUCAUGUCCUGUUUGGAGGGUGGAGCAAGAUCACCUUGGAGUCCAGCUACCAUCUGCACAAUUCCAGAGACCUAGAGUUGGUGUGUCAAUGGCAUUUUAAGCUUUAAGUAACCACAGUGCCAGUCAGGUGAUUUGAGCCCUUAGGGGCAGAAGUAAAGGCCAGAGGAGACCCUACAAGUUCUUUCAUCUAUUUGAAUACUCAUCCAUUUGCUCUGUUCUCAUUUCUUGUGCCUUGGCCUUCAUUAGGGAUUCUAGACUUCUGAGCAUCCAUUCACAAAUAGACCUAAAAUUAACACAGCAAGUGUUCUUGGCCCAUAAAAUCCACUAUUUAUCAAGCACUUGCUGUAAAUGAGGUGUGAUAUGUUCAUAACUAGAACCCACAUUGUGCUCACUGUGCAGAAGAGACAGUGGACACACUGAGAGAUAAGCCCAAGGUCACACAGCCAUAGAAAAGAAAGCCAGGGCUCAAAUCCAAGCCUGCUUGACUCUCAAGCUCAGGCUGUGGUUGAAAUUAUAAAAUAUGAAUACUUGAGUGAUAAUAAAAAUAAAUGUCUGGGACUAGGGAUAGUCCCAGAUAGUCUGGGACUCAGUGGGGCACAUGCAUUACUGUGUGUGAAGCUCUGGGUUCCAGCCCUGGCACCACAUGGAAGCACCAAGGAUCGCAGCAGCAGCAGCAGCAUGGGUAGUGGGGCAGGACUGUGAUGCCUCUCUACUCUGUCAUUUCUCUCCUUCAAAAUAAAACUAUGUGAAAAUUGG